rnacentral:rRNA from 1 species
GACGAACGCUGGCGGCGUGCUUAACACAUGCAAGUCGAACGCUGAAGCCUAGCUUGCUGGGUGGAUGAGUGGCGAACGGGUGAGUAACACGUGAGUAACCUGCCCUCUUCUUUGGGAUAACGCCCGGAAACGGGUGCUAAUACUGGAUAUUCACUGAUUCUCGCAUGGGGGUUGGUGGAAAGGUUUUUUCUGGUGGGGGAUGGGCUCGCGGCCUAUCAGCUUGUUGGUGGGGUGAUGGCCUACCAAGGCUUUGACGGGUAGCCGGCCUGAGAGGGUGACCGGUCACAUUGGGACUGAGAUACGGCCCAGACUCCUACGGGAGGCAGCAGUGGGGAAUAUUGCACAAUGGGCGAAAGCCUGAUGCAGCGACGCCGCGUGAGGGAUGGAGGCCUUCGGGUUGUAAACCUCUUUCGCUCAUGGUCAAGCCGCAACUUAGGGUUGUGGUGGGGGUAGUGGGUAAAGAAGCGCCGGCUAACUACGUGCCAGCAGCCGCGGUAAUACGUAGGGCGCGAGCGUUGUCCGGAAUUAUUGGGCGUACAGGGCUUGUAGGCGGUUGGUCGCGUCUGCCGUGAAAUCCUCUGGCUUAACUGGGGGCGUGCGGUGGGUACGGGCUGACUUGAGUGCGGUAGGGGAGACUGGAACUCCUGGUGUAGCGGUGGAAUGCGCAGAUAUCAGGAAGAACACCGGUGGCGAAGGCGGGUCUCUGGGCCGUUACUGACGCUGAGGAGCGAAAGCGUGGGGAGCGAACAGG